rnacentral:rRNA from 1 species
GAUGAACGCUGGCGGCGUGCCUAAUACAUGCAAGUCGAGCGAACAGACGAGGAGCUUGCUCCUCUGACGUUAGCGGCGGACGGGUGAGUAACACGUGGAUAACCUACCUAUAAGACUGGGAUAACUUCGGGAAACCGGCGCUAAUACCGGAUAAUAUAUUGAACCGCAUGGUUCAAUAGUGAAAGACGGUUUUGCUGUCACUUAUAGAUGGAUCCGCGCCGCAUUAGCUAGUUGGUAAGGUAACGGCUUACCAAGGCAACGAUGCGUAGCCGACCUGAGAGGGUGAUCGGCCACACUGGAGCUGAGACACGGUCCAGACUCCUACGGGAGGCAGCAGUAGGGAAUCUUCCGCAAUGGGCGAAAGCCUGACGGAGCAACGCCGCGUGAGUGAUGAAGGUCUUCGGAUCGUAAAACUCUGUUAUUAGGGAAGAACAAAUGUGUAAGUAACUAUGCACGUCUUGACGGUACCUAAUCAGAAAGCCACGGCUAACUACGUG